AAUGAACGUUGGCGGCGUGGAUUAGGCAUGCAAGUCGUGCGGAAAGGCCCCGCAAGGGGCGCUCGAGCGGCGAAAGGGAUAGUAACACGUGGAUUACCUACCUCCAGGACGGGGAUAGCUGCGGGAAACUGCAAUUAAUACCCGAUGAUGUCUUCGGACCAAAGGUGUGAUUCCGCCUGGAGACGGGUCCGCGUCCUAUUAGCUAGUUGGCAGGGUAACGGCCUACCAAGGCUCAGAUGGGUAGCGGGUGUGAGAGCACGACCCGCAUCACUGGGACUGAGACACUGCCCAGACACCUACGGGUGGCUGCAGUCGAGGAUCUUCGGCAAUGGGCGAAAGCCUGACCGAGCGACGCCGCGUGCGGGAUGAAGGCCUUCGGGUUGUAAACCGCUGUCAGUGGGGAGGAAAUACUGGUGGGAACACCCUCCAGUUUGACCUAUCCGCAGAGGAAGGACGGGCUAAGUUCGUGCCAGCAGCCGCCGUAACAC
rnacentral:rRNA from 1 species